rnacentral:lncRNA from 1 species
AACAAUCAAAAUGUCAUAUGUGAUGAGUCAAAACGUGGCGAAAUACUAUUGAUAUCUCGAUAAAAUAAUCAUGGAAUAACAACAUGGGAAUUGUUGAAUCCAUUGAUUAAAACUCGAUAUUUAAUCAAGAAAAGAAAUCAGAGAAACAGUAAAAAAUCAACAAGUAUCUAAAAAAGGGAAUGAACAUGAAAAGGUUAAAAAUAGUAAAAAAAAUAUUGUAAUAAUAAUAAAAACUAACUAGAACUAAAAUUAUCAAGUGUCAAACCUAUGACCUAUUAGAAAGCACUGAAUGUCUCUACCACUGAGUCAAGAGUGAUUAGUCAUAAAUAUGUUACAAUUAACAAUAUGUAAUAUAAUUUUUGUUUGAAAAAAUGGAAAAAAGAAGAGAUAAAGAAGCAAAAUGUAGGAAUGACUGGAAGCAGGAGACCACCUCAGCCACUUGACCAAAUUUCUUCCUCCUUAACUAUGCGCGUUCAUG